ensembl:snoRNA
AUGUGGUACUUUCAGGGAUCAUUUCUAUAGUUUAUGACUUAAGAAAUGUGUUUCUAAAGUGUAUGGUCUCGCUGCCCACGAUGAAGAGUUGGGGAUACUACUUCUUGAACAUGAAGAAAGUCUUUGUUCAUCCUUGUUCUCUGCUAUUGAUGAAUGUUCACUGUUUUUUCUAGAGACGGUGAGGGAAGAAGUAUGAUCUGAGUGGUC